UACGUAGGGGGGCUAGCGUUGUCCGGAUUUAUUGGGCGUAAAGGGCUCGUAGGCGGCCAACUAAGUCGGAUGUGAAAUCCCCAAGCUUAACUUGGGAACUGCAUCCGAUACUGGAUGGCUUGAAUCCGGGAGAGGGAUGCAGAAUUCCAGGUGUAGCGGUGAAAUGCGUAGAUAUCUGGAGGAAUACCGGUGGCGAAGGCGCUGCUCUGGGCCGGUACUGACGCUGAGGAGCGAAAGCGUGGGUAGCAAACAGG
rnacentral:rRNA from 1 species